GGUCUUUUAGCUUAAAGGUAGAGCACCUCCCUGUCACGGAGGGGGAUGUCGGUUCAAAUCCGUCAGGGAUCGCCA
rnacentral:tRNA from 1 species